UGAUUCAUGACUGGGGUGAAGUCGUAACAAGGUAACCCUAGGGGAACCUGGGGUUGGAUCACCUCCUUA
rnacentral:rRNA from 3 species